GUGGGGAAUAUUGCACAAUGGGCGAAAGCCUGAUGCAGCAACGCCGCGUGAGCGAUGAAGGCCUUUGGGUCGUAAAGCUCUGUCCUGGGGGAAGAAAAAAAUGACGGUACCCUAGGAGGAAGCCCCGGCUAACUACGUGCCAGCAGCCGCGGUAAUACGUAGGGGGCAAGCGUUAUCCGGAAUUAUUGGGCGUAAAGAGUGCGUAGGUGGUCUUGUAAGCGCGGGGUGAAAGGCUAUGGCUUAACCAUAGUAAGCCUUGCGAACUGUGAGACUUGAGUGCAGGAGAGGAAAGCGGAAUUCCUAGUGUAGCGGUGAAAUGCGUAGAUAUUAGGAGGAACACCAGUGGCGAAGGCGGCUUUCUGGACUGUAACUGACACUGAGGCACGAAAGCGUGGGGAGCAAACAGGAUUAGAUACCCUGGUAGUCC
rnacentral:rRNA from 1 species